rnacentral:lncRNA from 1 species
CCAGGCUAGGGGUCCAAUCGGAGCUGUAGCCAGAGCCACAGCAACACAGGAUUCAAGCCACGUCUGCGACCUACAACGCAGCUCAUGGCAACGCCGGAUCCUUAACCCACUGAGCAAGGCCAGGGAUCGAACCCACAACCUCAUGAUUCCUAGUAGGAUUUGUUAACCGCUGAGCCAUGACAGGAACUCCCUAUACUAUAUUUUAAAGGCUGCAUAGCAUUCUACUUAAAAUACUUUUCGUUUACUAAUUUAAAACCUCCCAACAAAGUCAAGAACCAAAUGGUUUCAAUGGUGAAUUCUACUAAAAAACUAAAGAAUUAAUAUUAACUCUUCUCAAGUGUUUCCCAAAAAUAGAGGACAUAGAGGACAAGGGAACACUUUCAAACUCACUUUAUAAGAUCAGCUAUACCCAGAUACCAAAGCCAGACAAGUACACUACAAGAAAAGCAACUUACAGCCAAUAUCCCUGAUGAAUAUAGAUACAAAAUCCUCAGUAUAAUAUUGGCAACAAAAUUCAAUAGCACAUUAAAAAGAAUAUACAGGAUGAUCAAGUGGCAUUUAUUCCUGGGAUGCUUGGAUGUUUCAAGACAAAUUAAUCAAUGUGAUACACAGUGUAUACAGAAUGAAGGAUAAAAAUCAUAUGAUCAACUCAAUUCAGAAAAAUCAUCUGACAAAAUUAACAUCUUUUUAUUAUAAGAAAAACUCUCAAGAGACUAGGCAUAGAAAGAAGGUACCUCAACAUAAUAAAGGUCAUAUAUGAUAAGCCAAGCUAAAUAUAUAUAUAUGUUUAUGUGUGUGUGUAUAUAUAUUUAGCUUGGCUAUAUAUAUAAAAUUCAGCCUUAAAAAAAAGAAAGGAAAUUCUGCUAUUUGCAACAAUAAUGAUGAAUCUGGAGGUUGUUAUGCUAAAGUGAAAUAAUCCAGACAGAUAAACACAAAUACUGCAUGGUGUCAUUUAUAUGUGAAUCUAAAAAAACAAUCAAACUCAGGAAGGGAGAGUAGAAUAAUUAUUACCAGUUGGGAUGGGGCAAGGAGAGAGAGAAUACCAACUUUCAUUUAUAAAGUGAAUAAUUUCUGAGGAUCUAAUGUAUAGCGUAGGGACUACAGUUGAUAAUACUCUAUUGUGAAAUUGAAUUUUGCUAAGAGAUGAGAUAUUAUGCAUUCUUAACCAGUAAAUAAAUAAAGGUAACUAUAAAAAGGGACGAAUGCGUUAAGAAUGUGGAGCUCCUUUCACAAUGUAUAUGUAUAGCAAAUCAUGUUAUAUACUUUAAAUAUAUUACAAUUUUAUUUGUCAACAGUACCUCAAAAAGCUGGGAAAAAGAAGGAAAUAAUGAAUAGACCCACAAGUUCCUAUUCAUUAGGCCCUUCCAAUGGGACCUCCUAACUGCACUAUUUUUAUAGUAUUUUACUCAUAUAUUCCUUUCCUUUUUUCAAUCAAAAUGGAGUUGUACUGAAAAUUCCUCAUAUUAAAAACAGCAAAGGAUGGAGUUCUCUUAUGGUGCAGUAGCGUAAGGAUUCGGUGUUGUCACUGCAGCAGCUAGGAUUGCUGCUCUGGCGUGGGUUAGAUCCCAAGCCAAGGAACUUCCACAUGCAGUGGAUGUAGCCAAAACCCCCCCCAAACAAACAAAAAUCAGCAAAGGAAAAAGGCUCAUUGGGGAAGUUCAGGAAAAACCAGGCACAAGCUUCCAGGUGUCCAGAUGUCCUCUUUCAGUGGAGUCACAUAGAUGUGAUUAAUUUUUCCAGCAAAGAUGUGUGACAUGUACAAAGCAUUGUUAACCCAGAAGCACCUGAGCAUUGAUGCUCAGAGUUUUUACUGGAGGUCAGUCAUUCAUGUGGGCAUGCAGCACCUGUGUGUGUGGCUGACCUCAGCUACUCAGACUCCAGCCCUCUAGCGUCAAAGUAGGUGUUCACUGUAAGUCACCUUGUUGGCAUAGACUACCUGAUCAAACCUGAUGGAAUGUGGCCCAAGGCCGCAGGCAUUUAAAAAAAACCACAAACAGCUCUUACCAGACAGGAUAUUCCAAAAGACUAGAGCUAAAUCUCCCAGUAUCCCAUCAAGGCUGAAUACAGGCCGUUUCUGGAAUGUGCUGGGUUUGAGCAAUACAAGCCAACUAGGUUUCCUGAAUCCUUUCAUGAAUUUUAGUGAUUUAAUUUAUUUGGAUAUGCUAAAAUGCCCAAGGUUCAUUGAAACCGUAGAAAAAAAAUGUGAAACUAUAUUCAUAGAAUGAUACCCAAUUUUUAUUUUAAAUACCACACUGUCAAUGGGAGGGUGAACAUGCAAAAUAUUGAGGAUGUAUCAUUGAAAACCAUGCAAUGGUUAUAAACAGUGGGCUAGAUUAAAAACAUUACAACAUGUUGGCUGUUAAAAUCAUUGUGUGAGUGAAAAUGAAAAUAUAAGAAAUUCAAUACAAUUGUAAUAAAAUACUACUUACACAAUAAUAACAAAUGAACACAAUAACGCUAAUACAAAUAAGACCCCAAAGAGACUUGUAAACAAAUAUUUUUAAAAGCUUUACUUACAACUCCAAACUGCAAACAGCACAAGUGCCCAUGAACCUAUGAAUGAACAAACAAAAUAUAGUAGCAUAUUUACUUAAUGGAAUACAACUUAGCAAUACAAUGAAACUUGACAACAUGGAUAAGUCUCAAAACCAUUGUGCUCAGCAAAAGAGGCUGGACACUAAAGCGUGUAUAUGAGACAACAAAAAGACAACUUACAGAAUGGGGGAAAAUAGUGUCAAAUGAUGCAACUGACAAGGGCCUAAUAUCUAAAAUAUACAAGCAACUCAUACAACUUAACAGCAAAAAAGCCAACAACCCAAUUGAAAAAUGGGCAAAAGACCUGAAUAGACAUUUCUCCAAGGAAGAUAUACAGAUGGCCAACAAACACAUGAAAAAAUGCUCAACAUCCCUGAUUAUUAGAGAAAUGCAGAUCAAAACUACCACGAGAUACCACCUCACACCAGUCAGAAUGGCCGUCAUUAAUAAGUCCACAAAUAACAAAUGCUGGAGAAGGUGUGGAGAAAAGGAAACCCUCCUACACUGUUGGUGUGUAUGUAAGCUGUUACAGCCACUAUGGAGAACAGUAUGAAGGUACCUUAGAAAACUAUACAUAGAACUACCAUAUGACGCCUCAAUCCCACUCUUGGGCAUAUACCCAGACAAAACUUUCCUUGAAAAAGACACAUGCGCUUACAUGUUCACUGCAGCACUAUUCACAACAGCCAAGACAUGGAAACAACCCAAAUGUCCAUUGACAGAUGAUUGGAUUAGGAAGAUGUGGUAUAGAUACACAAUGGAAUACUACUCAGCCAUAAAAAAGAACGAAAUAAUGCCAUUUGCAGCAACAUGAAUAGAAUUAGAGACUCUCAUACUGAGUGAAAUAAGUCAGAAAGAGCAAGACAGAUACCCUAUGAUAUCACUUAUAUCUGGAAUCUAAUAUAUGGCACAAAUGAACCUUUCCACAGAAAAGAAAAUCAUGGAUGUGGAGAAUAGACUUGUGGUUGCCUAGGGGGAGAGGGAAGGACUGGAAUGGAUUGGGAGCUUGGGGUUAAUAGAUGCAAACUAUUGCUUUUAGAAUGGAUUAGCAAUGAGAUCCUGCUGUGUAGCCCUGGGAAUUAUGUCUAGUCACUUUUGGUGGAGCAUGAUAAUGUAACAAUAAAAGACAUAUACAUGUAUGUGUAACUGGCCACCAUGCUGUACAGUAGAAAAAAAAUUGUAUUGGGGAAAUAACAAUAAUUUUUUUUUAGUUAAAAAAAAUAAAAAUAUAAAUAGUAAAAAAAAAAA